rnacentral:rRNA from 1 species
AUUGAACGCUGGCGGCAGGCCUAACACAUGCAAGUCGAGCGGUAGCACAGAGAGCUUGCUCUCGGGUGACGAGCGGCGGACGGGUGAGUAAUGUCUGGGAAACUGCCUGAUGGAGGGGGAUAACUACUGGAAACGGUAGCUAAUACCGCAUAACGUCGCAAGACCAAAGGAGGGGGACCUUCGGGCCUCUUGCCAUCAGA